rnacentral:piRNA from 1 species
UCAAGUAGGAACUGAAGCAGAAAC